rnacentral:rRNA from 1 species
ACCGUGCAAAGGUAGCAUAAUCAUUAGUUUUUUAAUUGAAAGCUGGUAUGAAUGGUUGGACGAGAGAGCAGCUGUCUCAAUUUAAUUUUAUUAGAAUUUUAUUUUUAAGUUAAAAAGCUUAAAUAAAUUUAAAAGACGAGAAGACCCUAUAGAGUUUUAUAUAUUAUAUUAUAUUAGAUUAUUGGUAUUAGUAGAUUAAUAUAGUGUUAUGUAUUUUGUUGGGGCGACAGAAAAAUUGAAUAAACUUUUUUUAAAGUUAAAUCAUUAAUUUAUGAUUAAAUGAUCCGUAUUUUACGAUUACAAGAUUAAAUUACCUUAGGGAUAACAGCGUAAUUUUUUUUUAGAGUUCUAAUCGAAAGAAGAGUUU